UGUUUCGGCAAGGGGGUCAUCCCGACUUACCAACCCGAUGCAAACUGCGAAUACCGGAGAAUGUUAUCACGGGAGACACACGGCGGGUGCUAACGUCCGUCGUGAAGAGGGAAACAACCCAGACCGCCAGCUAAGGUCCCAAAGUCAUGGUUAAGUGGGAAACGAUGUGGGAAGGCCCAGACAGCCAGGAUGUUGGCUUAGAAGCAGCCAUCAUUUAAAGAAAGCGUAAUAGCUCACUGGUCGAGUCGGCCUGCGCGGAAGAUGUAACGGGGCUAAACCAUGCACCGAAGCUGCGGCAGCGACGCUUAUGCGUUGUUGGGUAGGGGAGCGUUCUGUAAGCCUGUGAAGGUGUGCUGUGAGGCAUGCUGGAGGUAUCAGAAGUGCGAAUGCUGACAUAAGUAACGAUAAAGCGGGUGAAAAGCCCGCUCGCCGGAAGACCAAGGGUUCCUGUCCAACGUUAAUCGGGGCAGGGUGAGUCGACCCCUAAGGCGAGGCCGAAAGGCGUAGUCGAUGGGAAACAGGUUAAUAUUCCUGUACUUGGUGUUACUGCGAAGGGGGGACGGAGAAGGCUAUGUUGGCCGGGCGACGGUUGUCCCGGUUUAAGCGUGUAGGCUGGUUUUCCAGGCAAAUCCGGAAAAUCAAGGCUGAGGCGUGAUGACGAGGCACUACGGUGCUGAAGCAACAAAUGCCCUGCUUCCAGGAAAAGCCUCUAAGCAUCAGGUAACAUCAAAUCGUACCCCAAACCGACACAGGUGGUCAGGUAGAGAAUACCAAGGCGCUUGAGAGAACUCGGGUGAAGGAACUAGGCAAAAUGGUGCCGUAACUUCGGGAGAAGGCACGCUGAUAUGUAGGUGAAGUCCCUCGCGGAUGGAGCUGAAAUCAGUCGAAGAUACCAGCUGGCUGCAACUGUUUAUUAAAAACACAGCACUGUGCAAACACGAAAGUGGACGUAUACGGUGUGACGCCUGCCCGGUGCCGGAAGGUUAAUUGAUGGGGUCAGCGCAAGCGAAGCUCUUGAUCGAAGCCCCGGUAAACGGCGGCCGUAACUAUAACGGUCCUAAGGUAGCGAAAUUCCUUGUCGGGUAAGUUCCGACCUGCACGAAUGGCGUAAUGAUGGCCAGGCUGUCUCCACCCGAGACUCAGUGAAAUUGAACUCGCUGUGAAGAUGCAGUGUACCCGCGGCAAGACGGAAAGACCCCGU
rnacentral:rRNA from 1 species